GUGUCAGCCGCCGCGGUAAUACGAAUGGUGCAAGCGUUGUUCGGAAUCACUGGGCAUAAAGAGCACGUAGGCGGCGACGCAAGUCGGCUGUGAAAUCCCCCGGCUCAACCGGGGAAUUGCAGCCGAAACUACAUCGCUAGAGUGUGGGAGGGGAGAACGGAAUUCCUGGUGGAGCGGUGAAAUGCGUAGAUAUCAGGAGGAACGCCGGAGGCGAAAGCGGUUCUCUGGCCCACAACUGACGCUGAGGUGCGAAAGCUAGGGGAGCAAACAGGAUUAGAUACCCUGGUAGUCCUAGCCGUAAACGAUGGGCACUACGUAGGGGGGCUCCCAAGGCCUCCCUGCCGGAGCUAAUGUAUUAAGUGCCCCGCCUGGGGAGUAUGGUCGCAAGGCUAAAACUCAAAGGAAUUGACGGGGGCUCACACAAGCGGUGGAGCAUGUUGUUUAAUUCGAUGCAACGCGAAGAACCUUACCUGGGCUUGACAUGCAAGUAGUACCAAACCGAAAGGGGCGGGACCUCCUUUGGGGGAGCUUGCACAGGUAUUGCAUGGCUGUCGUCAGCUCGUGUCGUGAGAUGUUGGGUUAAGUCCCGUAACGAGCGAAACCCUUGUCCUUAGUUACCAGCGGGUCAUGCCGGGGACUUUAAGGAGACUGCCGGUGUUAAACCGGAGGAAGGCGGGGAUGACGUCAAGUCAUCAUGGUCCUUACGCCCAGGGCCACAAACGUGCUACAAUGGCCGGUACAGAGGGCAGCAAUACGGCGACGUGGAGCAAAUCCCAAAAAACCGGUCCCAGUUCGGAUUGGAGGCUGAAAUUCGCCUCCAUGAAGUUGGAAUCGCUAGUAAUCGCGGAUCAGCCAUGCCGCGGUGAAUGUGUUCCUGAGCCUUGCACACACCGCCCGUC
rnacentral:rRNA from 1 species